AGAGUUUGAUCCUGGCUCAGGAUGAACGCUGGCGGCGUGCCUAACACAUGCAAGUCGAGCGGCAGCGCGAGUAGUUUACUACUUGGCGGCGAGCGGCGGACGGCUGAGUAACGCGUGGGAAUUUGCCCCAAAGUGAGGAAUAACUGCCCGAAAGGGUGGCUAAUGCCGCAUAUGAUCUUCGGAUUAAAGGAUUUAUCCGCUUUGGGAGAAGCCCGCGUCGGAUUAGGUAGUUGGUGAGGUAAUGGCUCACCAAGCCGACGAUCCGUAGCUGGUCUGAGAGGAUGACCAGCCAGACUGGAACUGAGACACGGUCCAGACUCCUACGGGAGGCAGCAGUGAGGAAUCUUCCACAAUGGGCGAAAGCCUGAUGGAGCAACGCCGCGUGCAGGAUGAAGGCCUUCGGGUUGUAAACUGCUUUUAUAAGUGAGGAAUAUGACGGUAGCUUAUGAAUAAGGAUCGGCUAACUACGUGCCAGCAGCCGCGGUCAUACGUAGGAUCCGAGCGUUAUCCGGAGUGACUGGGCGUAAAGAGUUGCGUAGGCGGUUUGUUAAGUGAAUAGUGAAAUCUGGUGGCUCAACCAUACAGGCUAUUAUUCAAACUGGCAAACUCGAGAGUGGUAGAGGUCACUGGAAUUUCUUGUGUAGGAGUGAAAUCCGUAGAUAUAAGAAGGAACACCGAUGGCGUAGGCAGGUGACUGGACCAUUUCUGACGCUAAGGCACGAAAGCGUGGGGAGCGAACCGGAUUAGAUACCCGGGUAGUCCACGCCGUAAACGAUGGAUACUGGCUGUUGGAGGUAUCGACCCC
rnacentral:rRNA from 1 species